UGGUGACUAUAGCAAGGAGGUCACACCUGUUCCCAUGCCGAACACAGAAGUUAAGCUCCUUAGCGUCGAUGGUAGGGAGAAUUAGCUCAGCUGGGAGAGCAUCUGCCUUACAAGC
rnacentral:rRNA from 1 species